UGGGGAAUAUUGGACAAUGGGGGCAACCCUGAUCCAGCCAUGCCGCGUGUGUGAAGAAGGCCUUUUGGUUGUAAAGCACUUUAAGCGAGGAGGAGGCUACCUGUAUUAAUACUAUAGGCUAGUGGACGUUACUCGCAGAAUAAGCACCGGCUAACUCUGUGCCAGCAGCCGCGGUAAUACAGAGGGUGCGAGCGUUAAUCGGAAUUACUGGGCGUAAAGCGCGCGUAGGCGGUUUGUUAAGUCGGAUGUGAAAUCCCCGGGCUCAACCUGGGAAUUGCAUUCGAUACUGGCAAGCUAGAGUAUGGGAGAGGAAGGUAGAAUUCCAGGUGUAGCGGUGAAAUGCGUAGAGAUCUGGAGGAAUACCGAUGGCGAAGGCAGCCUUCUGGCCUAAUACUGGCGCUGAGGUGCGAAAGCAUGGGGAGCAAACAGGAUUAGAUACCCCGGUAGUCCCUGAGCGGGCUGGCAAGGCGCAU
rnacentral:rRNA from 1 species